CCGCCCCGUGCUCAUUGACCGGCCAGAGCAGUCUGUGCCCUGUGGGUCCCGUCCCUGUGCUCUCUGCCUGACUCCCUCGUGCAGCCGGCAAGGGACGCUGGCCUUGCUGUGAAUUCCAAGUGCGGUGUUCCAUCGCAUGCUGAGGAGCGUGGGCAGCGCCUGGAGGGUCACCAGAUGGUGUUUUGCCAGGCGAAGGGAGCUAGUACGUAGUGCCCUGGGGGGUGGGUGGUGAGGGGGGCCAGGAGGGGAAGCAGCCUCGCUCCGAUUCUCCUGGGCCCCAGCUCCCGGGCGAGGACAUCGGCAGGACCUCCACGGCCACGGCCACGGAGGGAGAUAUUUACGCACACAAACAACCAACGCAGGUCGCCCCCGGAUCUGUGCUGAAGACGAAGCCCUGAAAGGUCUCUAGGAAGAUGUGGAGGGGGACGUGAACAUUCCAGCCUUAGUACACCUUGGAGCCUGCCCCAGGAGAGGUUUAAGAGACAGCCCAGAGUGGACAUAUGGGAAGGGUGCCCGGUCAGCAGGAGCCCGCCCUGAGCUGUGCUGAGUCAGCACAGGAGCGGUGAGGCUCUGGACCCACCUCCUACCCGCGCCCCCCAGCCUGCCUGUGCCCUCCGCCGCCAGCUGCCCAAAUGCUCUGUAACUUUCAGUGGAGACACCUGCAAGAGGUGUCUCUGAUUCAGAGGCCAGGAAAUUGGACCCACCAGGGCUCUGUCGCUUCCAAACCAUGUGAACUUGAGC
rnacentral:lncRNA from 12 species